rnacentral:rRNA from 1 species
CCUACGGGGGGCAGCAGUGAGGAAUAUUGGUCAAUGGACGAGAGUCUGAACCAGCCAAGUAGCGUGAAGGAUGACUGCCCUAUGGGUUGUAAACUUCUUUUAUAUGGGAAUAAAAUGUUCCACGUGUGGGAUUUUGUAUGUACCAUAUGAAUAAGGAUCGGCUAACUCCGUGCCAGCAGCCGCGGUAAUACGGAGGAUCCGAGCGUUAUCCGGAUUUAUUGGGUUUAAAGGGUACGCAGGCGGCGAGUUAAGUCAGCGGUAAAAUUUCGGGGCUCAACCCCGACGAGCCGUUGAAACUGGCUUGC